rnacentral:rRNA from 1 species
AUUGAACGCUGGCGGCAGGACUAACACAUGCAAGUCGAACGAGUGGCGGACGGGUGAGUAAUGUCUGGGAAAAUGCCUGAUGGAGGGGGAUAACUACUGGAAACGGUAGCUAAUACCGCAUACCAUCGGAUGUGCCCAGAUGGGAUUAGCUUGAUGGUGGGGUAAAGGCUCACCAAGGCGACGAUACCUAGCUGGUCUGAGAGGAUGACCAGGCAAACUGGAACUGAGACACGGUCCAGACUCCUACGUGAGGCAGCAGUGGGGAAUAUUGCACAAUGGGCGCAAGCCUGAUGCAGCCAUGCCGCGUGUAUGAAGAAUGCCUUCGGGUUGUAAAGUACUUUCAGCGGGGAGGCGUUACCCGCAGAAGAAGCACCGGCUAACUCCGUGCCAGCAGCAGCGGUAAUUC